CUGACAGCCCUAGAGACAGAUCUCCUCCUCUCUUUAGCUACAGAUCAGACACAUCAGUGCAAACGUCCCAAAGCACACUGCCCCACCAAUGUGCCUCAGCCCCAACCUAGAGAGACCACCUUUAGUGGAAAAGAAGAGCCAGUUUGUCCAUGGUCAAUAGUUGGUCUUU
rnacentral:sRNA from 1 species